rnacentral:rRNA from 1 species
AUAGCCAGAGAAAUUUGGAAUUAAUACCUCAUAGUAUAGCAGUUUCGCAUGAAACCACUAUUAAAGUCACAACGGUGAAAGAUGAGCAUGCGUCCCAUUAGCUAGUUGGUAAGGUAACGGCUUACCAAGGCAACGAUGGGUAGGGGUCCUGAGAGGGAGAUCCCCCACACUGGUACUGAGACACGGACCAGACUCCCUACGGGAGGCAGCAGUGAGGAAUAUUGGACAAUGGGCGCAAGCCUGAUCCAGCCAUGCCGCGUGCAGGAUGACGGUCCUAUGGAUUGUAAACUGCUUUUAUACAGGAAGAAACACUACUUCGUGAAGUAGCUUGACGGUACUGUAAGAAUAAGCACCGGCUAACUACGUG